AGAGUUUGAUCAUGGCUCAGAGCGAACGCUGGCGGCAGCCUAACACAUGCAAGUCGAGCGCCCCGCAAGGGGAGCGGCAGACGGGAGAGUAACACGUGGGAACGUACCCUUCAGUUCGGACAACCAAGGGAAACUUUGGCUAAUACCGAAUACGUCCGUAAGGAGAAAGAUUUAUCGCCGAAAGAUCGGCCCGCGCCUGAUUAGCUAGUUGGUGAGGUAACGGCUCACCAAGGCGACGAUCAGUAGCUGGUCUGAGAGGAUGAUCAGCCACAUUGGGACUGAGACACGGCCCAAACUCCUACGGGAGGCAGCAGUGGGGAAUAUUGGACAAUGGGCGCAAGCCUGAUCCAGCCAUGCCGCGUGAGUGAUGAAGGCCCUAGGGUUGUAAAGCUCUUUUGUGCGGGAAGAUAAUGACGGUACCGCAAGAAUAAGCCCCGGCUAACUUCGUGCCAGCAGCCGCGGUAAUACGAAGGGGGCUAGCGUUGCUCGGAAUCACUGGGCGUAAAGGGUGCGUAGGCGGGUCUUUAAGUCAGGGGUGAAAUCCUGGAGCUCAACUCCAGAACUGCCUUUGAUACUGAAGAUCUUGAGUUCGGGAGAGGUGAGUGGAACUGCGAGUGUAGAGGUGAAAUUCGUAGAUAUUCGCAAGAACACCAGUGGCGAAGGCGGCUCACUGGCCCGAUACUGACGCUGAGGCACGAAAGCGUGGGGAGCAAACAGGAUUAGAUACCCUAGUAGUCC
rnacentral:rRNA from 1 species